rfam:Triticum aestivum genome assembly, contig: Triticum_aestivum_CS42_TGACv1_scaffold_434199_5DL
AUCAUACUCCCUCCGUCCCAAAUUUACUUGUCGCAGAAAUGGAUGUAUCUUGAACUAAAAAUACGUCUAGAUACAUCCAUUUCUAUGACAAGUAAUUCAGGACGGAGGGAGUACAUG